ensembl:lncRNA
AGAUCAGGGCAUGUACAUUUUGUAGACUUAUUCCCAGAUGAGCCAUAACAAAUAGCUAAAGCAUACUUUCCACUGGUGGCAAAUUGCUCCUGGGAAACAUACUGAUUCACUUGUGGAUUAAAAACACAGCAGUUAGAAUCACUUUCAUAUAGGCUAACUUCACAGCUCUUGAUAGUGAAGAGAAAUUUUUUUUUUUUUUUUUAGCUUUCAAAAGAUUCAUAGAUGUCUCCCUAUUUCUUUGAACUGUCAUUAUGUUUAAAUGGGGUGAGAAAACUACCAAAAAUGUUUAAAUCAUGCGUUCCUGAUGCAAACAUCAGUAGUCUCUUGUCUUUUACUAACUACAUUUAAACAUACCAGAGAUGAAAUUGUUGGACUAUGAGAUUACAAUCCCUUUUGACGGGUUAAUAAUCUUGCUUAUUAAUAGAAACAAUUCAGACCAGAAUUCUACCUUGCAAUUUUGCUAUGGGAAGUGUAGGCAAGAUUUCACCAAGAACAAAACAAUCUCGCAAACCAAUUUGAAUGAUCUGAGAGCUGUGUUUGCUUAAUGUACAGUUUAGUAGUGGUAUCACGCUUUGGCUCUGUUGUCCUUUCUUUGAACUCAAGGGUAGGCUUGGGGGAUGUUAUUGGAACCACAUGCUUUCAUUCAGGUUGACGGUUUUCUUCAGAAGACAUAGUAGGGUCUUCAUGAUUUGUCUCAGGUUGCAAGUCAGCUGUCCAAUGAUGAAGAAUCAUCUAUAUGUUUCAGUGGGUUUAGGCUUAAAAAACACUCUCAAGAUAUUAAUUUGCCAUUGUUUUAGGUAUAAAAGUGAAAUAUUCCAAAACAUGAUAUGUUAAAGUUUACAGUGGAAAUAUUUUCAAAUACAACUAGGUGGUUGAAUUUUCAUAGUAUAAUGCUUUUUCUCAUUUUUAUCAUGGAAAAGCACAAAUAUUUUAAAUAUUUUUGUGUUUGUUUUUACCAAGGAAAAACCACUCGAAAAGCAAGAGGGCAGUUUGAUGUCUAAAAUGGAAAGGGUAAAUUGCUGCCCUAUCACAUAAGUGGCUUUUGUAGGUUGGAAGUGAAAAAUAUUUUUAAUUUAAAAGUGAAUUUGGAGAUCUGAGCAUGCUCACUGUACAUCACUUUAAAAUUAUUAAAGUAGUUUGAUUUAAUAGAGUGAAUCUUCUCAGGCUGAGGAGUACUUCACUUUGCACUGCAAAAGCUCAGAUGUUAGAACCCGAUCACUUCCCAGAUGAAGAGCUUAUAAAAAAAUGUGAAGUACUCUAAUAAUUUUAAAUUACUCUAUAUUGCACAUUUUCAGGUCUCUGAUCACCUCCAAAUUCAAGUGCUUAUAAAACUGCUCCCAUAAUUUUAAAUUGCUAUGUGCACAGUGAUUUAAAAUUGUGAGAGUGCUUCAAAGUUUUUUAAUAAGUGCUUUAAUUUAGAAGUGAGUUGAGCAAUACUCCAGUAUAACUUCAAGAAUUUAUUAAACCGAUAUAAAAAUUUAUCCUCUGGAAAGAAAAUUACAUUACGUAUAAAAGGGUGAGGCUCCAAAUGAAUAUAUAUGAGGAUGAAAGUACCAAAUGCUCAGGAACAAUCAGUAAAUGAAAUGAGAUCAUGGGGUCGUAGGUGGGGGGUUUGUUUGGUUAAUUUUGUUCACUGCUUGCCUGAGGCUAGCGUUCUUGAAAAUCUAACAGAAAGGGAAGGAAGGAAGAGAGAGCCUGGUGGGAGAGUUUAUCCCUAAGACAUCUUUCCCCACUUGUCAGUAAGGUAGCUCCUGGACCCGCCUGACUCCUGAAUUUCUCAUUUUUCAGAGGUAAACAUGGCACAUUUUAAAUUGUACUCAGGGAUGAGGGAAAUGGUUUUCAUUAAAAACAGAAUUCCUUUCAUAAACCAAUAGAUCUAGUCACCCUAGGAAAAGCAUGUAGAUUUGGUUUUCUGACCACGAUACCCCAUUAUUAUUACAAUGCAUGAGGUGAUUUGACCUUAAACGGGCUACCAUCCUACAUGGAUCUAGUCUUACACUACCUGCUUGGGGAAUAAAAUAUCUUGAGUUGUGCUAGCUGCGACCAGCUUUUCCAUGGCUUCUCCGGCUUAUUUUCCAUGCUGUUCAGGUAAACAUGGUGGUCCCCUUUGACUGAGUCACCGAUUUUGUCUGACUGCACCAGCUGAUGUGUCUGAAAUAUCAAACCGUUUGACAGGGACAUGAGGCCUCUCAUGUACUGAACUAGAAUUUUAUAAUGUCUUUGAUUAAGAACAUGAACUUGAAACACAGGAACCAUAAGGAUGUUCUUUUGUCCAGUCGUGAAAAGAUGGGGAUUUAUAAUGUAUGGUGAUUCUUUGCACAUUUUGUGAAACCCCCAUAGCCUUCCUUACAGGGAAAAAGGCAUUUACAGUUACUAAGUUGAAGAUGAAAUAAAAGUCAAUUGACUGCAUGUUUCAGCAGUUCCUACCUCAGAAUGGAAAAUUACAUACAUCAUUGGGUUCUAAAGUGUAAUAAAUGGGUGGAUGUUAGUUCUUGUUUCUCACUUUGCUAUAAAUAUUACUGUGCCUCAAAAUAUUUGAAGUAAUUCUCAUCUUCAUUUUUGCUGUAUGUAAAUAUUCUUGAAAAUGACUCUUAUCUUCCUAUAUUUUUUUAAAUAUAGGAGAUUAGUCUCUGUCUAUAACACAGGGAAACAAGACUUUCUGAAAUAUCCCGGAUACAUAUAUAAAGGACAGAAAGGUUGUAUGUGAGACCUUGAAAAGAAUGUGAUUUUUUUAUGACAAUUUAUCAUUUAUCCUGGAUCAACAUUUUCUAGCACUCUUCUAGCUUUGCUAAAGCAAAUUGUGUUUUAUGUCCCCAGCAGAAUACUCGAUAACUGGUCUGGCGAUGAUGAGGCAUAAUAGGAGUUAUCUGGUCCCAGGAAAGUCAUUGGUUUGCGUUCACUGCCAGAGUCUGGUUAUCAUUGCAGGGCAGGAUUAUCUCAUUGUUUUCUGCUGCCAUGAUUUUGUUUUGACUUCUCAAAUCUCCACAGAACACUCAUUUAGAAAACCCUCCACAGUGGUUUGUUCUUACUGGGGAAACGAAGGCAGUGGGGAGGGAAGGACAGAAGGAUUUUCUUUCUUUUUCUGAGUCCGUCCUGGGCAGAGAGUAAGAUGCAGUUUUUUCUUAGCGUUGUCAGUGCAAGCCUAGCCCUUUCACUGCCCAGUUUAUUACUCCUAUGCAUCGCCUUAAGAUAUUGCUCCAAAGAUCAAUACCCUGAUUUCCUUUCCAUCUGCCUAGACUAAGAUAAUUAGGCUCUUUACUUCAUUUUGUAUGUAAUGAAGGCGGCAACUCGUGAUAGUAGAGGAAAAAAGCUAUCUCCCUAUGGUAAAUGUAUUGACAUUUACAGAUACCAGCGGAGCACAACAUGAGGAGAGUAAUGAGAAAUUUCACUGCUUUCCCCUCUUUCUCUGUUUCCUGGCUAGAUCCCACAGCGAAUCACUAGCUGCAAAGAGAAGGGACGGCUUAGGGACCGACAAUUGAGAGCAUUUACAAUUAGCUGCAUUGAUUAACCUUUACAAAUGCUGUUACUUUAUGAGGUGUUUUUCUCAGCCCUGGUUGAACAGUAUGCGUUAUUGAUUCAACAUACUCCUUUACGAAAGCCCUGAUUUGUCCGUGACUCCACCAGUCAUAAUGCCUGCCUUGGUAGUCGUUUCUGCAUGUUCUCGGGAAAACUUGACACGGAAGACUGAUUGGCAUUAUGUAAAUGGGGUCCACAUCUUCCUUUAGGAAGGGUGUACAGCCGGCAGAAACCAGGGCGUAGACCUGCCUCCCUUCAUCCCCAUCGCCAGGCGCAGACACAAAGGAUGCCAGCCUCGCGCCAGCCGCUUACUGCUGCCCAAUUCACAGCAUCACUCCUAAUAAGCGGCCUGCAGGAGGAAAAGAGCCUCAGACACUCCUCCAUCUCCUCUGUAUUCCCUGGUUUUUAUUUAGGUUUCCUGAAAUAAUUUGGAGUGUGUGUGCAUGCGUGUGUGUAUGUGUGAAAGAGAGAGAGAGGGAGGGAGAGAGAGAGUUUGUGUAAGGGAAAGGGGUGGUGGGAAAUUGUCCAAAAAAUUGUUUUUAGCUUAAUUUUCUUCGAAGAUUGUAGACCGACUUUGAUUGCCGCUUUGGCUGGUGAUUCCAAAAUCUAUGGUGGAAGGCAUUUUCCUUUCAUCAGUUUGAUUCAGAGAAGCUCAGUGCUUAGAAAUAAUAAAUAUCACCUAGAAAUGGCUGCCUUCCACCCCUCCUGCCCCAUAGAACUAUAUGAAUAUAAAUUGAAUACUAUUUUCUUUUUCUUCCUCUCUUGCUUCCCUCUCUCCCCAUUUCUUCCUUUGAGCCUUCCCUUAUUCUUCAUUUCAAGGUGUACAUUAGUAUCAUCUGAAAGAUAAAAGGACUAAAAGCUUGAAAUACUACAGAGUAAAUCCAUCAGCUGUUCUGUCAGGAUUCCUAAAAUGUAUUCUGCACCCAAGACCAGUUAUAUGAUAUGCAGUGCAAAAUAAAGAUGCAGGGCCCCUUGUUCAUAAAUUAUUAAAAAUUUCUAAACAGUAACAGCAGAGUGUUAAACCCAGCUCUGUUCCUCUAAGAAUGAGGCUUGUGUGAUUGCACAGAUCACACACCCAGGAAGUAGGCCCUGCCAUCAUCUUUGCCAACAGUUAUUUCUGAAAAGAUAGUAGGAGACAGGGGCCUGGGUGGGGGGAAGGUAGUAUUUGUUUUCUUUCCCAACUCGAGUUUAAACUUCUCUAUUGUGAGACUCAUUUUUUCUGGAUCAUGCCAAAUUGCAUAUGCUCCUUUAUGACUUGAAAUGCCACUUAGUUGGGUUUGAACUGAGAGCACCGCCUUUAUGCCCAUCUUCUGCAUAGCAGAUUCCAGCGACUUGAAGCACUUUUUCCAUGCCAGAAUUCUGAGACUGGAGUAUUUGUCACUUUGCGCUUCCAGGAACGGCUGAAAAAAGUUUAUUUUGCUUUAUGUGAUUAAACUGAAUGUUUGUCUUGAUGCAAAUGCAUAUACAUGUGCAUUUAUUCUAAUAUACAUAUCCAAACACAUGGGAUUUUUUUUUCCCGUACAUACAUGUGCAUAACAGAAUUGAGUUUAUGGUUUUCCAAGACACAGCUGAACAAUGAUGGAAGACAGCCAUUUUUUUUUUUAAUGAAGAGUUGAUGCAUUUUUAAAGGAAAAAAAUCAGGAAGCUGCUCUAACAGACUCUGCAGCAUUCACAGCAUGACAAACAAAUUAGAAAACAGCAGAUGCAGCACAAAUUAAGAUGUAUUUAGCACAGCAGCCCAUCAGAUGUGUGAACGUCUUUUGUAACUCAGCUUUGCAAGGUUGAUGUAUUGCACUUUAGACAGCUGAUAAUGAACCCUCCUAGCAAUUAGAAGUGGAAAUACUGAGGAGUCAAAAUUGUGCUGUUCCCAGUGGGC